GCAAACAAGGACUCCACGGUAAACAAGCAAUCAAAUCCGGAAUGACCUGCAAACUGGCAUGACACACCAGGUCAGUACAUUGAAUGUACUUGCAAGCUCACAAUAACCAGAAGCUUUCAAGACAAACAACAGCAUGGCAAUUACAGGUUAAGCAGGAAUUAACAUGAUAUCAUCAUAGCAACAUGGCAUCAACAUGAACAUGAUACAGCUAGAACAACAUGAACCUGGCAUGAACAUAUGAAUCUGAUGAUACUAACAUGCAACAAUAUAUCCAACAUGAUGUGACCAUGCAUCUUGUGAUAAUCGUCCCUCGUACUGGCUUACCAAACGUCAUCGUUUCCAGAUCACAAACGUGUCGAACUCAGAGACAAACUUGUGAUCCUUACGGCGAUCACAACCACGACCAAUAAAUGGCCCGUGAUCCUUAUGGCAAUCACAACCCAACAAAUAAAUGGCCCGUGAUCCUUACGGCAAUCACAACCACGACCAAUAAAUGGCCCGUGAUCCUUAUGGCGAUCACAACCAGACCAAUAAAUGGCCCGUGAUCCUUACGACGAUCACAACCCGACCAAUAAAUGGCCAAUGAUCCUUACGGUGAUCACAACCACGACCAAUAAAUGGCCCGUGAUCUUUAUGGCGAUCAUAACCCAACCAAUAAAUGGCUCGUGAUCCUUACAACGAUCACAACCACGACCACAUCUGGUCCAACUCAACAGGAUGGCCUUUCUACCAUCACGUCAGUGCAUACUUAGUGUACAAAAUUAUUAAGUGUUGACCCAUUGUGUACCCUACUUUCGAGCAUGUCCGUAACUGUGGACUUGGCUAUCGAUAGAUUAAUACACUUUGCAGAGGUAGCGCACUGGACCCACACUACGGAACCCAUGGCCUUGCACUGCCAUUCGGGUGGACCAACGACAUUCCGACGAAACCACUUCAUUGUCAUGACAUUCUCCCAGCCACUCCGACUCAAUCCCCAUCGGGCUAGUCUUGGGUGGCCCCGUGUCUACCUCAAGACACAUCGACCACCGUUGUGGCCACGAUCCGCUCUAGGACCCGGUACCAAAAACUUAACAAUGGGCUCACAAGGUUAUGCCUGCUUACCGGGCCAGGGUAUAUCAUGCCCAUAACCUUCCCUAGAUGGAGGCACCGACUAGAGGCACGGCAAUGAAACGCAUUAAGGCCGUCCCAUACCGGUAAAUGUGGUUGCACUGGGAAAACUCAUUUCAGCGGCACCAUGACCCGGUCAACAACAUAUUCAAGUUGAGUUAUUUAUCAGUUUCAACUUAAAGUGAAAGUAAUCGGUGUCAUAAUGCCAUGACAUGCAUCACCAACAUAUGCAUCACAUAUCAAUGAAAAUAACUAAGUCAACUACGCUCCCACGGAGCCAUCGUCAACUCAUGAUACUCCUUUGGUUAAGAUCAAACCUCACUUAAACUAGAAUCUUUUCUAGCAAUCCCAUCAGUUUUCAUUAUGCAAAAAUAAUUUUACUGAUUAUUUAUCUUCAUGACCAUAUCAUUUUAUUAUUACUCAUAACUAAAUUUUUGUUAACUUAUCAACAAUAUUCACUUCAAACUUUCUGUAAAUUAAGCAUAUUUAACAUGACAAGCAUCUAACAGAAUAUAAUUAUCAUAAUAAUAUUUUAAAUGCAUGAAUAAUCAUAAGUUCAAGUAGGAAAAUCACAAAUAUUGAAGUGGCACUAUGAAAAUGUUGUUGUGGCUUUCCUGGGGAUGAAGAAGGCACCGGGGAGAAGCGCGGUGAAGCCGCAGAAAGAUUUACCGGAAACAGUUCUCUCUCGGAGGGGCUGUUUACGUGCAAGGGCAAAAUGGUCAUUUUCAGAAUGCCAAAACAUAAUGAAAGUGCCACCAACAGAAAGGGCUUGACGAGGCGAAGAAGUAGGCUUUGGAAUCACCUCAUUUGGAGUUACGGAUAAAAAGUUAUGAUAGUUUUUCUGCCAGGGACCUCUUUGCAAAUAAAAAUCAUCACCAAUAGGUCCUUAACAGAAAAACAGAACAUGCACUUGGGGAAAUACGUUUUUGGAGGAUGAAAAGGUAGACGCCCAAAUACUUCUUCACUUAUCCACGCCAGCAUGGACAAGUCAACGCGGGGUCGGUGGCUGGGAGGCUGAUUGGUGGGUCCCACGUUAUCCACUUCUCUCUCUCCUCCCUUCUCUUCUUCCUUUCUCCUUCUCCCGACGGCGAGCUGCAGCAGAGGCAGGGCCGAGCACUCCGGCAACGUGUCCGGCCGACUCCGGCCACCUCUGGCGGCGCCCGACCCACCAAAACGAUAAUGAGACGGAGGCGCUCCCAUCCCUGCACUAAACGGGCCUCGAAGAGGGCGGGAGCGAGAGCACCAUGUACCAGGGCAGACGGCGGCUCGGUCGAUCUUGGGGACGACGACCCCAACUACUCCGGCGACUAGUUCAGGGGAGGGGGAGGCUUGGUGCGUAGAGGGGAGGCCUCUGGGGGUGGAAUGGAGGAGGGAGGGAGCUCAGCUUGCCAGGAUCGAGCUUCAGGGAAUGGCGGCCAACCGUGGAGAGGAGAGCUCCGGGGCUCGGGCGAGAGGCUUGGAGGGGCUAGAGGACGUGCAAGAGGCCAGUGGUGAGCUCGGAGAGGCUCGGGGAGGGCUAUAAAUAGGCGGGGCAAGGGAGGUCGAGCUGGCACCGCCGCAGACACGUGUCCGGCGCCGCGGACGCGUGCUCGCGCGCAUGAACUCGGGGCAAAGGACAGAGAGGGCACAGAGGAGAGCUCACGGGGUAGAAGAGGUCGAGGGACGCAGGGAGGAAGCAACCAUGAACGAACCGAGACAAAACGGCAUAGUCCGCCCGUGGGCGCGCGUCGGCGAGCAUCGGCGAGGAAGCUACCAGAGGGGUAGAGGGGUCCAAGGGAACGACGACGACGCGGGCUAUCUACUGGGCAUCCUCACGAGCGCGAAGCCGACGAGAGGGGGAGGGGCCCGAGCAAGAAACCAUUUUGGACGCGGCCAUUGCAUGCCAAAGCGGUGGUCACAGCGCAUACUGGCAUCAAGAGGAGCCAAAUGGCUAGCCAAUGUUGUCUAGUGGUAAGUCCUUCGAAGGGUAGUUGUAACUACGGUGGUAACUUGGUUAAAAAGGUUCUGGUCAGAUAGAAAUCACCCUCUGAAGUUUACUGCAGUAAACUUUGCUGGGCACUGGUGAUCAACAGGAAGGGUUUUGGGAGCAAUGGAUUUGUCUGCGAGGUUGAGGUAAACAAGGACUUUCGUCCUGGUAAGCUUGAGGAGAAAUGGAUCAAGAUUAAUCAUAGUUGCUUCACAACUGCAUAUUUGGUCCAGAAAUGAAGAGCAACAAGAUGCACUCACAUAGUUGCACCAAUUGAGCUGAAAAUGGUUAUGGCCCAAUGAUUUGAAGAUAUUAAGAUGCCCAAGGAGUUUCAUGCCAUUUGGAUGAACCAAAAUAGCACUUGCUUCAGAAAGAUUUAUUCUGACCAGAAACUUGGAAAAAUUCCACAGGGCAAAUGGUAUAUGGGAUUGAGCCAUAACUUGGUGGAGGGAGGUUAUAGGGAUACUAGAAGGUCUAGAAACAUUUACAGCCAUAAUAGAGCAAGAUAAAAUAUACUUGCUUCACAAACUAAAACUUUGACCAGAAACUAAGAAUUGAAGCUGUGCUCACAUGGAGGCAUGACAUGAGCUCAACUUUGGUGGAGGGCUAUCAUAUCAUGAUAUGAAGGAUCCUGCAAAAUGGAAACUCGUUUGGAUGUGCCUAGCUUGUACCUCCUUCACAAAGUUUCUUUCUGGACAGAAACUUUGGAAAAUUAUAAUUAAAUAAUUACUAAGCAAAUGAGGUUGCAUUCAGGCAUGUGCCAAUGAUAUGGACAUGAAAAGAUGUCCAAGGAGUUUGAGGUAAAUUGGGCAAAGGAAAAUGGCACUUGCUUCACAAUGUGCCAUUUAGGGCAGAAUAAGAAAUGAAUUAUUGGAGGAUUAUUUUUUAACAUGGCAAUGAAAAGUUUUGCCAUAUUUGAUCAAGAUAUGACCCAAACAAUUUAUGAGAAUUAUUUGGGAAUUUUAGGAGUGAUGGAAAUAUAGGUUGCUUCACAACCGAGGGCAAUUUGAGUCAUUCCUUUAAUAGAAAAGGAAUAUUCCCAAUAAAAAGAAUAUUGGGAUUUGGGCUAGGAUGAAAAUGACAGGGCCUAGGGAAGGAUUUGGGAAUGACAAGCCACUCUGGAAACAAAGAAGAGGGCAUCUUCUUCAGUUUCCAGACCACAAAGCCACAGAAAAAAGAAAACUCACGCAAAAACCUCGAAAAAACAAAAGAAAAAGAAUGGGCCAAAAAUCAGGCUGUCACAAACCUUACCCCUUUAAAGAAAUCUCGUCCUUGAGAUUUGGUUGCGCAGUGAACUAGUAUGGAUAUUCUGACUUAAGGAAACCGUUUCCAACUCGGGUAUCCUUUUUCCUUUAUUGUUGUUCCCACUAAAUUUUUAUUUGAUUGGCCCUGGGUGGUUUGCUUUAUUGUAUCCACAUUCUGACAGAUCUUAACUGGCUUGCUCAUGCUUAUAUAGGCUCCAAUUUCUUUUUAGAUUUGUUGACUAGCUGAGCGUGAUUUGAUUAUCACGACUGAAAUAUAUGCCUGUCUCACAAAUCAAAAAGUGAUUUCCGCUGGGUGUGCCACCCGACACUGACAACCUUUCAUGUAAUGAUGAUAAGAUUUUUCUAGUGACAACUCAAGCUCUGACUCAUUGCAUUGGGUUUCUCCACUAAAUGCAUGUCCUUUGGGUUCCAAACAGUGAGUUAAGGCAUAACCAUUUUCUGACAGGUUCUGACUCAUCGCAGAAGUUUCUGAAUCAUCUUAACUGGUUCCAUUGUCGUGAGUAUCGGAUCCGUAUUAAAUAUUCGAUUGUCUCCUGCCACUGCCAGCAUAAAGGGUUUGGCUUGUAUGAUAAUAUUUGUAGACUUGACUGACAGUGGUUCUGAUGGAAAUAUUUUGUUCACGACAUGCGAUCCAUGAUGAUUCAUAUAAGUGAGGACUCAGGCUUCCAUAUUGUUAUUCCUCAUGCCGAUUAAUCAUGCUGUAGGCAUAUCCAUGGGGCUCAAUACUGACUUAGACUGUACGGGGGAUCUGCACCAUGGGGGUCGUGUACAAUUUUCAUACCUACAUCACUGGUCUUGCUCCUUCAUUAUUGUUUUAUUGGUCUGGAUCUUUGGCUGAAAGAGCUGGGCCAUAGUGCUUCUUCGUAUGACCAUAGGUACUGUCGGUGCAAUUUUUCAGCAAUUGGGGUUUAUCCUCAUUUUUCUAAUAGGGUAACCCAUUAAAUGGCAGGUUCAACACCUCUCAAGUUCUGAUCGUUGGGAAAUGAUCAUCUGAAACCCUUGCAAGAAAUCGGCAAAUAAAUCAGUAGCCACCAGAACGGUCUUUACAACUCAGAUCUGGGACAUUACUGAAAUAACUCAACCACGGCUCAGGACAGCCGAAAAGCAGCUCAGAGCAUGAGACCGGGUCGAUAAGAAGAAGGUGGCAGCUCCCUAAAAUAGCCAAAAAGAAGCUAUAGGGAUACUCUCACAAAAAGAAACUCAACAGCUAUAUGAGACGACCGAAAAGCAGCUCAGACUCGCGACAGUCAUUGAAGAGAGAAACAAAAAUAGGCAUCCGCCCUGGAUAGCUAGAAACAACUCAGAUCACAGGUGUGGUGCCGUCAUUGGAGAAAAGGGGACAAGGGCUCAUCAGGAUCAUUUUCCAGUUCACAAGUACUUGUAUGGAGCUCAUUGAUGUCGUCAAUCCUCAUAAUCCUUUGUCUCACUGAGGUGUAUACUGGCUUUGUUCUAUUAACCAUCCUCACAAGGUUGUCAGAUCCUCAUCUGAGUGACUUGUAAGAUCUUGAUGGUAUGCUCAUUGCAUAUAUAUGAGAAUCUUAUUCCCGAGACAGACGUGUAUUCUAACUGAUUCUUGCUUCUGACCAAAACGUUGCGGAUUUGAUUCUUGGGAUUCACUGCCAUAUGCUGUCAAUUCACAGUGUACUACCUUGUACUAAUGUCUUACUGAGAAAGAUUGGCUGGCUUGUGCUCGAAACUUUCAUCGGACAGCUUGCUGAAGAAGACUGGGUACCGUUCUUCAGAAGCUUACCCCCUUAAAGACUUUGCUGGGGAAAGACUCAGUACCUUAAGCCGGAAGCUUUUGCGGUUGCUUACUUAAGAAGGUAGAGUACCUUGCACGGGAAAUCAUCCAUGUAUCGUACUGAGGAAGAUAGAUGAAACUUGCCUUGGAAGCUUCUCGAGUAUCUUGCGAGGGAAGAUUGGGUUGCUUACACAAGAAACAUCUUAUUGUGAUAUGCGGACCGAGUACCACAUAUACAUACCAUCUUAAUAUUUCUGAUGUUGAUUUCUUGUAUGAAACAGGGUUUUACUGGACUAUCCUCCUUUCUGAGUACAUGCCAUAUUUUUGCUUGCUUUCGGGCAUAUAGUGUUUAAAAAUCAUUGUUAACAACGAAUAAAAAUUGUAUCUGAGCCAAACCUUUGUCUGAUAAUAUUCUGUCAACCUUGCACAUAAUUUAUCUUCUUGCUGAUUUGAUCAUUUUUGCUAUGAGGAGUACACACUGAGGGAGACUUGACACUCAGUAACAUGAUCAGAUAUUCCCCAAUCGGAAUGCAGUCGGCUGAGAAUUCCAUACUGUUGUGAGGAGUGCAUGUUAAUGCAAACUUUAUACUGAGAUUCCAUCCAGGAUUUCUUUUGUAUUCAGACGAGCUAUUUCCAAUUUCACUGCAGUCUGCUGACAAUUCCAUUCUGUUUAGCUGAAUUUCCAAAUAUAUCCAUUUCUUGCUGAUUCUUCGGGUCCGGUGUCGGUUGACGAGCAACUUUAAUAGGGGAAAAAUUUGUAACAGCGAAGGCCAAAAGAAAGGAACAACAGAAACGACUAAAAAAAGCACACAAGCAUUCUACUAAUAUAAUUAAUCAAGCAAUCAUCACAUAUUACUGCUACUCACACAAUAAUAUGCAUGCACACCUAAGCACACAAAUCUCGCGGAAACUCUGGUAUUGCGGUCUAAUAUGCUGUGGCGGUGUGCACGAAAAUUAUAUCUAGGUGUGGAAGGAUUAGCAUAACCAAGGCUACACCAAGCACUGGCUGAACACCCACUAGGUCUGGAUGGAUACACGGGUGAGGACGGACUUAACGAUCAAGUAGCGAGACAUAAAAGUCACGAUUACCUCAUCAUCAAGCGUACAAAGGGAAUCAUACCCGUCCAAAGAAUGAAAUGACAAGGCAAGAUAACAGUGGAAGGCUGGGUCUAAUAGCAUUGCCCUUUUCUGAUAACAAAGGUCUGCAAGGGUUGCCAAAAGAACGAUAUGGAGGGCAUGGAUGAUGAUGUUGUCGCAUCACACCAAAGAGCAGGCAUGAUAAGAAGGACGGCGUAGGUAGUGGAUCGGAACCGAUACCACCUACACUCACAAGAUUAACCGUUAGCGACUAAAUAAUAAUCUAUAUGCAUGCUAUGCGACAAAAAAUGUAGCAAUCAAGUGCAACAAACCAACUGGGGUCUAUACUACCGCUUUCUAACGUUCGCGCGGUCUAGGUCGUCCUACAGCCAGACCUGCUCUAAUACCAUGCCUGUGGCACCCCGGCUCAGAGAAAACCGGAACGUCCCGUAUUCCAGCCCAGAGAUCGCGAUGAAGUCUUCUAGAAUAUGACACUGCUUAGCAUAAAACAAACCAGCUCUUUAUUACAAUCUAUUUGGGUACAAGGGUUACAUCGGCACGGCGACACUAUGCCCGCCACUGUUGCUCUAUGCAAGCAGCAGAACAACAUGAUGCAGCGGAAGAACUCUAGAAGCGGAACAACGAUGACUGUGGUGAACUCCACUCCAUAGGGACUCUGGCUGGAAUGCUUAUCCUAGCUCGCAAACAAGGACUCCACGGAAAACAAGCAAUCAAAUCUGGAAUGACCUGCAAACUGGCAUGACACACCAGGUCAGUACAUUGAAUGUACUUGCAAGCUCACAAUAACCAGAAGCUUUCAAGACAAACAACAGCAUGGCAAUUACAGGUUAAGCAGAAAUUAACAUGAUAUCAUCAUAGCAACAUGGCAUCAACAUGAACAUGAUACAGCUAGAACAACAUGAACCUGGCAUGAACAUAUGAAUCUGACG
rnacentral:lncRNA from 1 species